rnacentral:lncRNA from 1 species
GUUUAAAGAGCAUGAAUUUAUGCAAUGUCUGAAGUCAUCUACUUCGAGGAACGAGACUGGCAAGCCACCAAACUUCUCUUCCUCAUCCCAAAUCACAUUAAAGUCUCCUCUGACCAGCCAUGGAACAGUAAUGUGUGAUGCCAUUGAAUAUAGAGAAUCCCAUAACUCAAUUCUUUCAAUGCGAUAACAUUUAGCAUAUACUAGCGUGGGGAUGAGCUCUGCAUAUGUUUCAGUGUGCACCAAUUUUAAAGUCAACUAUUGAGUCAAAUUAUACAAAAUAUUAACUUCAAAAAUUUCAUCAUUAAAUGCCCAAAUCUUGUUUGACACAUUCACCACAGCUUGAGCCAAACCAAUUCUUGCUCUAUAUCUCUCCUUUUUGUUAGACUGCUGCAUAGGUUCAAUUAUUCCAAUGAAUUGAAAUUUAUGUUUCCGAUGCAUUGUAACCAG